rnacentral:rRNA from 1 species
AGAGCGAACGCUGGGGGCAUGCUUAACACAUGCAAGUCGCACGGUCGGGGGGAGACUUCCGGCAGUGGCGGACGGGUGAGUAACGCGUAGGGAUCUAUCCUUGGAUGGGGGACAACCGCGGGAAACCGCGGCUAAUACCGCAUGAUGCCUGAGGGCCAAAGCUCGCGAGAGCGUCUGGGGAGGAGCCUGCGUCCGAUUAGCUAGUUGGUGGGGUAACGGCCCACCAAGGCGUCGAUCGGUAGCUGGUCUGAGAGGAUGAUCAGCCACACUGGGACUGAGACACGGCCCAGACUCCUACGGGAGGCAGCAGUGGGGAAUAUUGGACAAUGGGCGCAAGCCUGAUCCAGCAAUGCCGCGUGGGUGAAGAAGGUCUUCGGAUUGUAAAGCCCUUUCGGCGGGACGAUGAUGACGGUACCCGCAGAAGAAGCCCGGCUAACUUCGUGCCAGCAGCCGC